UUUUCUUAUAUGCAAAUUUCUUUAAAUUUCCAAUAUUUUCAGAUAUGAAUCUGUUGCACUAGACAUCAUCGGCAAAGGGAAAUUGCCACAAAUGCCACAUUUAUAGUAUCACUUUUCAUGUUACACUAAUCACUUUUACCCUCACUUUUAAUGAAAGUUAAAAAAACAAUUCUACCUGUAAGGUUAACUAAUCUAGACUUAGGGUUUAGAGUUAAGAGUUGGGGUGGAGUAGGGUUUUUCGAAUAUUAAAUUUAGGAUUCUAAUAAAUAUAUAAAUAAAUACUUAAAAAAUAUUAAAAAAAUUUUAACAAAUAAUUUCAAACAUAAUUUUCGAUUUUCAAAAGAAAAUUUGAAAAAAAAAAGAAAUUUAUAAAAAAGUUCGAAUUUAAAAAUGUAUAAUUCGAACUCAUUAAAAAAAUAUUUUUUUAUUUAAAUAAUAAUUUAUUAUAUAUAUAGAACAAUGGUAUAAUUUUGCCACAUAAUAAAUAAUGUAUUUUUGAAAAUAUCUCUUUAGUGGUGGUAAAGAUGAAAGUGGUACCAUAGAAGUGGUAAAUAUGAAAUUUUCCCAUCGACAAACUUCAUCGACAGACUUCAUCACAAACUUCAUCGCAAAAUUCAUCGGCAUACUUCAUUAACAAACAAAAUUAUCUUUUAUACCAUAAAUGGUAUAUUACUAGACAUCAUAGGCAGACUUCAUUAACAAAAAAAAUUCAUUAAUAUUUGAUUGUAAAUUAUUCUUGAUGCUAUAUUAAUUUAAAUUUUAAAUUUUAUUAUUAUUGUAACUUGUAACUUUUUAAACUACUAUUAACAUCAACUUUCUAUGUUUUCUUAUAUCACUAUUUGCAAAGAAAUCAUUUAAAAUUUUAAGUUAUAUUAAGUUCUUAGUAAUACUAACAUGCAAAUUAUAAGAAAAAACAUGUUAUAGUUAUAACACACAACUUUAUAUCAUAAUUUUAUAUAUAACACAUUUUCAAAAUAACACUUAACAUAAGUUUGACAUUGCAAACAUUUACGUUCUGAAGUUCAGUAUAACAAAAGUUUAAAAUAAUGUUUGACAUAAGCUUAGCAAUUAGCAUAGCCAAAAAUACAUAAGCUAGCAUAGACGGAUCAUGUUCAAAAUAAAAUAUGAAAGCAGAUUCUCAAGAAAUAGGCUCUCAUAGGAAUAGGCAUAAAUGAAAGAUAUUAUUGUUAAAAAAAAAUUAUGAAAGCAGAUUCUCAAGAAAUAGGCUCUCAUAUGAGUGUGUAAGCUACGCUUGCUUGAUGAAUUGCUUGGCAAUUGGUUACCUUUUGAUUAAAAGAGAUCUUACUUUUGGAUCCUAUUUGCAGGCUUACGUCACCCCACAACAACCAUGAGUUUAUUCCCUUGUGAAGCUUCAAUGGCGGCGCGUCUCAAGAUUUCAAACCCAUUUUAAUCUGUUUCCUUUGCAACUUUUCUAGCACAUAUUUCUGUCUCCCUAAGUAAGCUGAUCUCAAAAUGACACAGACUACUACUACGCAUGAUCUGUUUCAAAACAUGAUGUAUAGUAAAGUUAAAGAAUUAUUUUUCCUCUUUGACAAACUUACGAUGAUAUUUUGAAACACAGACUUGUGAGGGAAUGACAACACAUGUGGUUGAUACGUCUGCUGUUCACAGCUUCAAGUCAGAAGCAGUACUGAAAAAUGAAGUUAAGAAGAGAAACCUUUUUAUAACAUUUUCCUUCGCUUUCUUCAAGAGUGGGACCCUUUGUAUCAUGCACAAUGAAGUAUAUGAAGAAGAGAGAGAACACAUAUCACCCCAAAUCCACAGAUCAGUACUCGAGCUCCUGCAGAAAAAUACAAGCCAAGAGCUAAAUGGGGAAUCUCUAGAGGGAGCGUCUCAAUAGAUCUUCAGUGCGAGUCCAAGCCAUGUCCAGGUCUAUGCAAGCUCAAGAGGAUGGAGCUCAUGUAAGAUUAUGUUUUAAUUUUAUCAGUCUCUGAACCUCUCAGUUUAGAAAACGCACACACAUACACUAAAUGAUACUUGAAUAAACAUAGAGUAUUUGUUUAUGGUGUGAUCCAAUUGGAGUAUGAGUGUGCAAGAUAUUUGAUCAGAAUGGUGGCUAUGGAUCAUCUUCUCCUUCGCAAAUUCUUUAAAAUAUUAAGUCAAGUGACAUACUUUAAUUCCCACUGAUUACAUAUAUACUUUUAUUAUUUCAAUCAUGUUUUUUUGUUCCUAUACAUGAUGAAAAUUCAGAGAUAGCGUAGAGAUUAAGGAGCAGACUGCUGAAACAUGAGGCAAGAAGCUUGCUGCGGCAUAUUGUGAAGGAUGUUCCAAACGGUGUGCUGAAACAUAUUACCCUUCAGAAAAAUGAAGACAAGCCUGUUACUAACUCUAGAGACACCCAAGAAGUAUCUGUUAAGCUUUUACAUCUAUAUAAGUUAUGUUCUCGAUUUGGUUUUCUUAUGUUGAAGUUUCUUUUGUGGGCUUGUGUUAUAGGUCAAGUUGGAGCAAGGUUUGAAUUGUGAAAAUUUUCAAGGAGCAUACGAGCAAGAUUUGCAUUUCGAAUGACUUUUCUUUCUAUGAGGUUCGACAGAAGACUAUCUUGGAGAAGAAAGCGAAGCAACAUCAAACCCAUAAACAGGUAAGAGCAGUAAAACAACUAUAAAUAUUUUGAGUAAGCGUACAACUCUAAGUCUUUCCUCUAACAUCUUAAUGAACUAAAUCAACAGGUAAGUGAGGAGAAUAGUACAGAGGAUGAGAAAAAGAAAUCUGAAACUGCUGAUCCGGCUCAUAAGGAAUCUCCUCCAGCUGCUUAAACUACCGGUGAUGUCAAGGUUGAUGAGAAUGAAUCUGUUUCUAAACCAGUUGAUGUGGUGGAAAAUGGUUGUUAGGUAGAUUAGUUGAUGCUGCGCACAGCUUGAGCAUAAACGCAACUAGAGAGAAGGUUUCUCUUGAGAACGAGUGCGGUGAGCUUUGAAGCAAAGAGGAGCUUUAGUACCUAAGACCGGGAACUGUUUCUUUGCCCUUAGAAAGUAACAUCAAUUUCAUAUCUAUUUUUGUUUGUUUUCACAUAUCUUUACACUUUUCUGUUUUUUUCGCUUUUUCAUUUUCUGUUGAUGCUUCUACCCCGUAAAAUUGCUUAUACUAAAUAGUGGGAAGUAGUAGGAAAAAUGAGAUAAAAGCAGGUUUUUUUUUUCAUUUCUGGUGAAAGUUUUUUCUUUACCAUUUAUGGGUUCAGACUUGCCAUGUUCGACUUCUUUAGUAGACGGCCUGUUUUUGCCUUUCUUGCUUUUGUCACUGUCCAAACAGGCACAUUAGCUUAACAAACACCACUGCCAAUAUCAUCUCUAGAGAAGCUUUCAAUGGCUUGCCACAAACAACAUGCAUGUGAUACGACUUCCUUAUAUAAAUACGACCACACACACUAUCACUGCUUCUCUCCUGUCAACCAAACUAAAUAUGAUAAGACAGUCUCUUUUACGAAACAUACUUUUGCAGGUUUAGAAGAAGACGAUGAGAGAUUCUGCAACAUCCUACUUAGAGUAUUACAUCACCUUAAAUUGUCUAUAACCCCGCGUUUGCGCGGACCUCCGCCCCUAUAUCAACAAAUGGGACACUCCUUGAAUCGAGACAAAAGAAUGUGAAGCAUACUUUGCUUAAUCCAUUUGAAACAUUUUUUCACAAAAUACCCUUUUUAAAAAUCUUAUAGACAUAGUUUUCACAAAGACUACUACUUCAAACUUUACUCGAUGAAUCCUUACUUCAAGGCUUCUACUCCUAUGAUUGGAAUCAAUGGUGUAAUAAUUGUCAAUUAUUUUUGAAUUAUUGUAUAGUUCAGUUAAUAAUUUAUGAUUCUGUCAUUUUGAACGUUCCCGAAUUAGUAGCUACUAGUGUAACCCCCAUGCUACGCAUGGGUUAAUUUACUGUUUGUAAAAUUAUUUGAUCAAAAGUCAUAAUUUUCAAUCAGAAUAGAUAUUAUUUAAAAUAUUAUAUGAACAUCACAUAAUUUUAGAGGCACCUUCAUUGAAAUAUAUUUUAUUUAUUUUUGAAAGUUCAAUAAUAUAAAAUAUAGUUAAAAUAUACUUUAUUUGAGACUUUAAUUUACUCGAUAAUUUCUUAUUGAAUAAUAAAUACUUAAUUUAAUUUAAUGUAACUUUAAAUAUGAUAAAUCUAAUAAAUUUAUUUUCUUUUUAUUUUACAGUUUAAAAAAAUAAUUCAGUGACAUUUUAUGUUAAUUCACCUAACAUAUUUUUUUAGAAAGCACACAUUUAAACAAAAUUAACCCACAAAUUUUUAAAAAUUAAAAAUUAACCCACAACUUUUAUUCUAAUAGUUUUUUAAUUUAAAAAUUAAAACUGACAACUUUUGUUUGAUUUUUAUUUAGCUAUAAUGAAUUGUAUUAAUUAAUUAAAUUUCAGUUACAAAAAAUAAUUAAAGUAAAUUCACCUCUGGAUUCAUAAAUGCAGGUUCCCUCAUACGUCCAGCAAUAGUUUCGUUGGUGAAAUCAAUUGCAUUGGUGAAUAUUGAAAAACAACUGAUCCAGCAAAGGAAAUAUUUUAUCAAACACAUUUUUUUUGAAACACACCAGCAAAGAAAAAAUUAAUCAACAAACCAAAGAAAAGUACUUAAGAGUGGAACACAUGCUAACCUUUUUUUGUCUGGCCAAAACCGAUGCUUGUAUCUUUAGUCCCCCUUGAAGCUACUGCAAAUUUACUGCAUGUGAGUGUAGUUAUUGGCUUUUCACGAGAAUAACUUUGUCUAUACUCCAUCCCAUCUUUCCAAACUGUUAACUCCAUGAUCUGUAAAAUUGAAUUUCUUCAAAAUCAAAGUACCAGUAUCAGCCUCUUCCCAUAAUUCCACUGUAUCUAUCUAAAAUUUUGUUGAUAAUGUAUUUUGAAGUAUAAUCCAUGCAAUAAAUAAAAAAAAGUUUUAAAUUGCUCCAAAAAUAUAUAUGAAGAAUCGUAGAGAGCACAACUGAUAAUGGAGAUGGUAGAAAAAGGGGGAAAGAAAGCAGAAAGUAAAUUAGAGAUUAAAUUUUAUAUAUGAAAAAAAAAGGUUUGAAAUCAUGAACCAUGACAAUUCAACAACGUGAAUGUGAUAUUUAAGAAAAUUUAGGAUGAAGUUGCUAAAAAUUAGGGAUGAUGAAUUUAUUUUAAUCAAACUCUUAUUUUUUAAAUAAAACAUUUUCCAUUUGUCAAAAUUUGAUUUGUUAAGUGACUUGUGCUUUAGUAUAUAAAUGAUUUAUAUACCUGUCAUUAUUAUUUCCUUUAAUUUAUUAAAUUUUAGUUUUAUGAAAAUAAUUUAAAAGUAAGUAGACAGAGUCUAAAGAUCAUUUUACGGAGUGUAUUGAACGUAUGUAGAGGGUUGAAUGUUUAAAAGACAAACAGUACAAAAAUAUUUAAAUGUUUAAUUUACUUUUAACUAAAAUAGUGCUAAUUUUCAAGAUCUUUUACAACAAUUCCAACUAUUCAUUUUAGAAAGUAUAUACUUGUCUGUUGCAGGAAAAAAAAUUAUAUACUUGUCUAAUUAUUAUAAAUUGUAAAACUAUUUUUUUCUUUUCUUUAUACAUUUAAAAAAAAACUAUAUGACUUCAAGAUGUAAAAUCUAUACCUUAUUUUUUAUAACUAAAAUAUUUUCAGACACAUAAAUAGAUAAUAUAAAACUAUCAUUACUAUACAUGUUUCUUUUUUGAGAAAGGUAUACAAAUACAUGUUUUUAGAAUCUUAUAGGGGAAAUUACAUGUUUACCACUUUCAUGGUAUCACUUUUCAUUUUUACUACCACUAAUGAGACAUUUUCAAAAAUAGCUUCUUCAUUAAGUGGCAAAAGACUCUUAUGCCCUUGUUAUAUAUUAUCAUAUAUGAAAACUGAGUUAACCAUGUUAUCAGAAUAGUUGAAUAGAAUUUUUGAAAUAAAUAUUAUUGGCUAACUUAUAAAAUAUAAUCCUUACAAUAAUUUCAAAAUACAUUAUUAUAUAUUGACUAUAUUGAUUAUGUUUCGUUAUUGAAUACAAUUAUGGGAAAUUUCCACAAAUAGCAUAUUCAUAGUACCAUUUUUCAUGUUUACACUAACCACUUUUAUCCUCACUUUUAAUGAAGGAUAAAAUACAAUUAUACCCUUAGAGUUAACUAAUCUAGACUUAGGGUUUAGAGUUGAGGGGUGGGGUAGGGUUUUUGGAAUUUGAAAUUUAGGAUUCUAAUAAAUAUAUAAAUACUUAAAAAUAUAUAUAAAAAUUUU